AGCUUCUUAGCGCAGUAGGUAGCGCGUUGGGCUCAUAUCUAAAUUCCAUGAAACCUUUCCAAUCUCAGGUGGCGAUACCCAAAGGUCGUCGGAUCGAAACCGACAGAAGCUA
rnacentral:tRNA from 1 species